rnacentral:rRNA from 1 species
UACGUAGGGUGCGAGCGUUGUCCGGAAUUAUUGGGCGUAAAGAGCUUGUAGGUGGCUCGUUGCGUCGGGAGUGAAAACCUGCGGCUUAACCACAGGCCUGCUUCCGAUACGGGCGAGCUAGAGUUCGGCAGGGGAGACUGGAAUUCCUGGUGUAGCGGUGGAAUGCGCAGAUAUCAGGAGGAACACCGGUGGCGAAGGCGGGUCUCUGGGCCGUUACUGACGCUGAGGAGCGAAAGCGUGGGGAGCGAACAGG